AACGAACGCUGGCGGCAGGCUUAACACAUGCAAGUCGAACGCCCCGCCAGGGGAGUGGCCGCCGGGUGAGUAACGCGUGGGAACAUACCCUUUUCUACGGAAUAGCUCUGGGAAACUGGAAUUAAUACCGUAUACGCCCUACGGGGGAAAGAUUUAUCGGGGAAGGAUUGGCCCGCGUUGGAUUAGCUAGUUGGUGGGGUAAAGGCCUACCAAGGCGACGAUCCAUAGCUGGGCUGAGAGGAUGAUCAGCCACAUUGGGACUGAGACACGGCCCAAACUCCUACGGGAGGCAGCAGUGGGGAAUAUUGGACAAUGGGCGCAAGCCUGAUCCAGCCAUGCCGCGUGAGUGAUGAAGGCCUUAGGGUUGUAAAGCUCUUUCACCGAUGAAGAUAAUGACGGUAGUCGGAGAAGAAGCCCCGGCUAACUUCGUG
rnacentral:rRNA from 1 species